rnacentral:snRNA from 1 species
UUUGAGUUACAUCAGUGA